rnacentral:rRNA from 1 species
AGCGUAGACGGAUUAGCAAGUCUGAUGUGAAAGGCAGGGGCUCAACCCCUGGACUGCAUUGGAAACUGCCAGUCUUGAGUGCCGGAGAGGUAAGCGGAAUUCCUAGUGUAGCGGUGAAAUGCGUAGAUAUUAGGAGGAACACCAGUGGCGAAGGCGGCUUACUGGACGGCAACUGACGUUGAGGCUCGAAAGCGUGGGAGCAAACA